UCUCCGCUCUGUAACAGAUGAUGAUCUGCGACAGCGCGGGGAUCAAACAUGAUCAGAUACCCUGGUAGUUCUCUCCGUAAACGACGAGUGCUAACUGGUAGGUGGUCUCUGCUCCUUAGCGCUGCAGUUAACGCAUUAAGCACUCCGCCUGGGGAGUACGACCGCAAGGUUGAAAUUCAAAGGAAUUGACGGGGACCCGCACAAGCGGUGGAGCAUGUGGUUUAAUUCGAAGCAACGCGAAGAACCUUACCAAAUCUUGACAUCUUUUGACCCUUGUAGAGAUAGAAGUUUCCCCUUCGGGGGACAACGUGACAGGUCGCGCAUGGUUGUCGUCAGCUCGUGUCGUGAGAUGUUGGGUUAAGUCCCGCAAUGAGCGCAACCGUUAAGUUUAGUUCCCAUCAUUAAGUUGGGCACUCUAAGUAGACUGCCGGUGACAAACCGGAGGAAGGUGGGGAUGACGUCAAAUCAUCAUGCCCCUUAUGAUUUGGGCUACACACGUGC
rnacentral:rRNA from 1 species